UACGAAGGGGGCUAGCGUUGUUCGGAAUUACUGGGCGUAAAGGGCGCGUAGGCGGUGUGUCAAGUCAGGCGUGAAAGCCCCGGGCUCAACCUGGGAACCGCGCUUGAGACUGGCACGCUCGAGUUCGGGAGAGGAUGGUGGAAUUCCCAGUGUAGAGGUGAAAUUCGUAGAUAUUGGGAAGAACACCGAUGGCGAAGGCAGCCAUCUGGACCGGCACUGACGCUGAGGCGCGAAAGCGUGGGGAGCAAACAGG
rnacentral:rRNA from 1 species